rnacentral:tRNA from 1 species
GGCUUGUUAGCUCAAUUGGUAGAGCGCUGCACUGGUAUCGCAGAGGUCAUGGGUUCAAAUCCCGUACGGGCCA